rnacentral:rRNA from 1 species
CCUACGGGAGGCAGCAGUAGGGAAUAUUGGGCAAUGGACGCAAGUCUGACCCAGCCAUGCCGCGUGCAGGAUGAAGGCGUUAUGCGUCGUAAACUGCUUUUAUACAGGAAGAAACGACUCUUGCGAGAGGCAUUGACGGUACUGUAUGAAUAAGCACCGGCUAACUCCGUGCCAGCAGCCGCGGUAAUACGGAGGGUGCAAGCGUUGUCCGGAUUUAUUGGGUUUAAAGGGUGCGCAGGUGGUUUAUUAAGUCAGUGGUGAAAGACGGUCGCUCAACGAUUGCAGUGCCAUUGAAACUAGUAGACUUGAGUAAAGUAGAGGUGGGCGGAAUUGAUAGUGUAGCGGUGAAAUGCAUAGAUAUUAUCAAGAACUCCAAUUGCGAAGGCAGCUCACUUGGCUUUUACUGACACUCAUGCACGAAAGUGUGGGUAUCAAACAGGAUUAGAUACCCUGGUAGUCCACACUGUAAACGAUGAUAACUAGGUGUCGGCCGAAUCUGGUCGGUGCCACAGCGAAAGCGUUAAAGUUAAUCCACCUUGGGGAGUACGCCGGCAACGGUUGAAACUUCAAAGGAAUUGACGG